GGUCUAGUAGCUCAGCUGAUAGAGCGUGAGCUGUACAAAAGCGUAUGCAAAGUCCAUCCGUGGGUUUGAAUCCCACCGAGGCUU
rnacentral:tRNA from 1 species